rnacentral:misc_RNA from 1 species
UGCUGCUGCUGCUGCAGUAGCCGUUAAACCUGCUGACAUGAAGAAGGCUAUCUCUGGCUCUCCAGCUGGUGGUACGCCUGUUCUUACUAGGUCUCCUUCACCGCAAAGCAGUACAAGUGCUCUGCCUUCACCACAAGCACAGGUUCUUCCAGUUCAUCAAGGCUUCUCCCUUCGCAAAUUGCAAGCUGAAUUACCAAUUACAAGGAGACAUUCUCUUCAGCGAUUUUUUUGAGAAGCGACGGGACAGACUGUGCAGCAAAAGCCCAUAUCCCUCACCUCCUGCAAUGAAAAUGGCUGAAACCAUAAAACCUGAGUUCAGCGCUCAAGUUUCACCAGAUGCAGGCUGCUUUGGGAAGCCUCUGG